AAAUUCCUUUUUAUAGGAAAUAUGUUCAGUGGCAGAAGAACCUCGAUAGGAAAGCAAAUUACGGUUUAAAAAAUGUUUAAAUUUAUUGAAAGAAUACGAGAUGUUUAAAACAACGCGCCAUUUUCAACGCAUCUUGAAAAUAUACCAAUUACCUAAGUUUCUGAAACUAUACAAAUUCAUUGCAUUUUGCAAAUAAUACCCACGGACAAAAGCCUCAUAUUGUCAAGCUAGACAACUUAUCGGUGUUGCCACCUCGUGCCAAGUUUACCGCAUUAUUUCAAAACCAAAAUUAAACAAACGUUCGCUUUAUGUUCAAGAAAAUAUCUUUAUUUUACGACCGUGUUGAACGAUUAUAUAAAGACAUAUAUAAAUACAUAUAUUUCUUAUAUUGAAUACAAAAUAUGCUUUUGCUAUUUGACCUUUUUUUGUGCUAAAUACACCGUUACAUACAAAAAUUUGUUGAACCAAAACAACGAGUAAAUGCGGUUUAGUAUUCAAUUAUGAACAUUUUGUUUCGUAUUUGUUAAAUAUAUAUUCUUUUCAUUGUUGUUUGUAUUUUUUGGAGUAAUUUGGAUUCGAACUUUUAGCCGGCAUGCACAGACUGAAACGAAGAAUAAAGAGAUAAAUCAAAUUAAAGCAAAAUCAUAUACCACAUAUAGAAUACAGAAAACGCAAAAAUUAGAAAGCUUAAAAUUAUAGAAAUAUGUACAUAUACAGUAAUUGUCACAUUUGAGUAGAUGAAACAUUCGAACUAUAGUAGAACUUCACUGUUACUGUUUGCUACAUUUCUUUCUCUACCAAGUCUUUUGAUUGCCAUUUGUUAUGCUUUGCUUUGUAGUAUUGUUUCUUACAGUAGUUUUUCACGAAGUUAUUUGCUUAUAUAAACUCUGAAUUGGAACGUACCCUGGCAAUGUCCACGCCAGUAAUGUUCUUGACCAGCUCCGGCACUUUGUUGACAAUCGACAGCACUUCGCCGGUCAACUUGGCAGCACCAAUAUCGCCUUGGCCGCUGGACACCAUCGUGAUCUUUCUAGCCUGAGAAAGAGGAGCAGCCACUUCGGCGGCAACCU